rnacentral:tRNA from 1 species
CUGAAGAUGCUAAGAUGUUGCUACUUGCACCCGAGGAC